UACAGAGGUCUCAAGCGUUGUUCGGAUUCAUUGGGCGUAAAGGGUGCGUAGGCGGUGGGGCAAGUCAGGUGUGAAAUCCCGGAGCUCAACUCUGGAACUGCACUUGAUACUGCCUUACUAGAGUACUGGAGAGGAGACUGGAAUUUACGGUGUAGCAGUGAAAUGCGUAGAUAUCGUAAGGAAGACCAGUGGCGAAGGCGAGUCUCUGGACAGUUCCUGACGCUGAGGCGCGAAGGCCAGGGGAGCAAACGGG
rnacentral:rRNA from 1 species